UAAUUAAAUAUACCGUCUAUUAUUAAAAGACUAUAAAAAUAUAACAAUACUUAAUCUCAUAGUGGAUUGGUUCAAUCAUUAAGAGGUACCAGUGUCAACAAAACACCAAUGCAGAUUCCAUAUGGAAACACGGCGAGAACCUAUAGUUCAUGAUGAUCCAUAAUAUAGAUGUGAUAUUAUCAAAUUAAAUUUUUAGAUUCAGAGAUUAGAUAAAUAGCACCUUUAGAAUCGACAACUAUGUUAAUAAAUUCAGAUACACUGAGAUAUCGAACCUGAGUUCAAAGACAGAAGUCAAGAGGCGCCAGCCAGCAAAAGAGGCAAAGCGACAUCUGCAGUUUAUAGAUGGGGCACCAGGUAAGGACGAAGCAGGUCAAUUAGCAACGCUGUUAAGGCACCAAUAGAAAACAUAAAAAAUCACAUUGACAUUUAAAUAAUGAAUAAAGGUAAGAACAGACGACAUAUUGUUUAAAAUUAAAAUAAUAUAAAUAUAAAAAGAUCUCUAAGUUUAC